UACAGAGGUCUCAAGCGUUGUUCGGAUUCAUUGGGCGUAAAGGGUGCGUAGGCGGCGCGGUAAGUCGGGUGUGAAAUUUCGAGGCUUAACUUCGAAACUGCAUUCGAUACUGCCGUGCUAGAGGACUGGAGAGGAGACUGGAAUUUACGGUGUAGCGGUGAAAUGCGUAGAUAUCUGGAGGAACACCGGUGGCGAAGGCGGUUCUCUGGGCAUGUCCUGACGCUGAGGAGCGAAAGUGUGGGGAGCGAACAGG
rnacentral:rRNA from 1 species